AGUUCGAUCAUGGCUCAGGAUGAACGCUGGCGGCAUGCCUAAUACAUGCAAGUCGAACGGAGUGAAGCCUUCGGGUUUCAUUCAGUGGCGAACGGGUGAGUAAUACGCAGGGAACCUGGCCAUGGCAGGGGGAUACACUCUGGAAACGGAGCAUAAGACCCCAUAGGCAGUAAGGCGGCAUCGCCUUACUGUUAAAGAAAGCUGAAAGGCUUUGGCGAUGGAUGGACCUGCGGUGCAUUAGCUUGUUGGUGAGGCAACGGCUUACCAAGGCGAUGAUGCAUAGCCGGCCUGAGAGGGCGGACGGCCACACUGGGACUGAGACACGGCCCAGACUCCUGCGGGAGGCAGCAGUAGGGAAUUUUCGUCAAUGGGCGCAAGCCUGAACGAGCAAUGCCGCGUGAGUGAGGAAGGUCUUCGGACUGUAAAGCUCUGUUGCCGGGGAAAAAGGGGAAAUGCAGGAAAUGGCAUUUCAUGGAUGGUACCCGGCCAGAAAGCCACGGCUAACUACGUGCCAGCAGCCGCGGUAAUACGUAGGUGGCGAGCGUUAUCCGGAAUGAUUGGGCGUAAAGGGUGCGCAGGCGGUCUGUUAAGUCUGAAGGCAAAGGGAUGAGCUCAACUCAUUUAUGAUUCAGAAACUGGCAGACUUGAGGACAGGAGAGGGCGGUGGAACUCCAUGUGUAGCGGUAAAAUGCGCAGAGAUAUGGAAGAACACCAGUGGCGAAGGCGGCCGCCUGGCCUGUGACUGACGCUGAGGCACGAAAGCGUGGGGAGCAAAUAGGAUUAGAUACCCUAGUAGUCCACGCCGUAAACGAUGAGGAGCAGGUGUUGGGAGUGAAAUCUCAGUGCCGAAGCCAACGCAGUGACUCCUCCGCCUGGGGAGUAUGCACGCAAGUGUGAAACUCAAAGGAAUUGACGGGGGCCCGCACAAGCGGUGGAGUAUGUGGUUUAAUUCGAAGCAACGCGAAGAACCUUACCAGGUUUUGACAUCGGAUGCGAAGGCGCAGAGAUGCGCUGGAGGCUAUCAUCCAGACAGGUGGUGCAUGGUUGUCGUCAGCUCGUGUCGUGAGAUGUUCAGUUAAGUCUGGCAACGAGCGCAACCCCCGUGGUAUGUUACUAACGCUUUAGGGCGAGGACUCAUAUCAGACUGCCGGUGACAAACCGGAGGAAGGCGGGGAUGACGUCAAAUCAUCAUGCCCCUUAUGACCUGGGCUACACACGUACUACAAUGGCGUCUACAGAGGGAAGCGACCCUGAGAAGGGAAGCGAAACCGGAAAAGGGCGUCCCAGUUCGGAUUGAAGUCUGCAACCCGACUUCAUGAAGAUGGAAUCGCUAGUAAUCGCGGAUCAGCAUGCCGCGGUGAAUACGUUCCCGGGCCUUGUACACACCGCCCGUCAAACCAUGGAAGCCGGCAACGCCCGAAGCCGGUGGCAUAACCUUUUAGGAGUGAGCCGUCGAAGGCGGGGCCGAUGACUGGGGUUAAGUCGUAACAAGGUACCC
rnacentral:rRNA from 1 species